AUUGCAUCUGGGCCUUUUGGCUGAGAUCAUGUGUAGUAUCUUAUUAGUUUAAUAAGUUAGAGGCCUAAAAAGUAAAAAGUCUGGGUGCCUCACUUAUC
rnacentral:sRNA from 1 species